GAUGAACGCUGGCGGCGUGCCUAAUACAUGCAAGUCGAGCGAACAGACGAGGAGCUUGCUCCUCUGACGUUAGCGGCGGACGGGUGAGUAACACGUGGAUAACCUACCUAUAAGACUGGGAUAACUUCGGGAAACCGGAGCUAAUACCGGAUAAUAUAUUGAACCGCAUGGUUCAAUAGUGAAAGACGGUUUUGCUGUCACUUAUGGCUGGAUCCGCGCCGCAUUAGCUAGUUGGUAAGGUAACGGCUUACCAAGGCAACGAUGCGUAGCCGACCUGAGAGAGGGAUAGGCCACACUGGAACUGAGACACGGUCCAGACUCCUAAGGGAGGCAGCAGUAGGGAAUCUUCCGCAAUGGGCGAAAGCCUGACGGAGCAACGCCGCGUGAGUGAUGAAGGUCUUCGGAUCGUAAAACUCUGUUAUUAGGGAAGAACAAAUGUGUAAGUAACUAUGCACGUCUUGACGGUACCUAAUCAGAAAGCCACGGCUAACUACGUG
rnacentral:rRNA from 1 species